GGUACUAUGGCCGAGUUGGUCUAAGGCGUGGGACUCAAGUUCUAGCUUAUAGAGUUUAUCUCAUCUCGAAAGAGGCCUGGGUUCGAAUCCCAGUGGUACCA